rnacentral:rRNA from 1 species
GAUGAACGCUAGCGGCAGGCCUAAUACAUGCAAGUCGAACGAUAUUAAGGGGCUUGCUCCUUAAGAAAGUGGCGCACGGGUGCGUAACGCGUAUGCAACCUACCUUAAUCAGGGGGAUAGCCCGAAGAAAUUCGGAUUAACACCGCAUAAAAACACAGGAUAGCAUUAUCCAAUGUUCAAAUAUUAAUAGGAUUAAGAUGGGCAUGCGUGUCAUUAGCUAGUUGGCGGGGUAACGGCCCACCAAGGCGACGAUGACUAGGGGAUCUGAGAGGAUGACCCCCCACACUGGUACUGAGACACGGACCAGACUCCUACGGGAGGCAGCAGUAAGGAAUAUUGGUCAAUGGAGGCAACUCUGAACCAGCCAUGCCGCGUGCGGGAAGACUGCCCUAUGGGUUGUAAACUGCUUUUAUCCGGGAAUAAACCUUUCUACGUGUAGGAAGCUGAAUGUACCGGAAGAAUAAGGAUCGGCUAACUCCGUGCCAGCAGCCGCAGUAAAAC